GAUGAACGCUGGCGGCGUGCCUAAUACAUGCAAGUCGAGCGAACGGACGAGAAGCUUGCUCCUCUGAUGUUAGCGGCGGACGGGUGAGUAACACGUGGAUAACCUACCUAUAAGACUGGGAUAACUUCGGGAAACCGGAGCUAAUACCGGAUAAUAUUUUGAACCGCAUGGUUCAAUAGUGAAAGACGGUUUUGCUGUCACUUAUAGAUGGAUCCGCGCUGCAUUAGCUAGUUGGUAAGGUAACGGCUUACCAAGGCAACGAUGCGUAGCCGACCUGAGAGGGUGAUCGGCCACACUGGAACUGAGACACGGUCCAGACUCCUACGGGAGGCAGCAGUAGGGAAUCUUCCGCAAUGGGCGAAAGCCUGACGGAGCAACGCCGCGUGAGUGAUGAAGGUCUUCGGAUCGUAAAACUCUGUUAUUAGGGAAGAACAUAUGUGUAAGUAACUAUGCACAUCUUGACGGUACCUAAUCAGAAAGCCACGGCUAACUACGUG
rnacentral:rRNA from 1 species